rnacentral:rRNA from 1 species
AUUGAACGCUGGCGGCAUGCCUUACACAUGCAAGUCGAACGGCAGCACGGGAGCAAUCCUGGUGGCGAGUGGCGAACGGGUGAGUAAUAUAUCGGAACGUGCACAGUCGUGGGGGAUAACGUAGCGAAAGCUACGCUAAUACCGCAUACGAUCCAUGGAUGAAAGCGGGGGAUCGCAAGACCUCGCGCGAUUGGAGCGGCCGAUAACAGAUUAGGUAGUUGGUGAGGUAAAGGCUCACCAGGCCGACGAUCUGUAGCUGGUCUGAGAGGACGACCAGACACACUGGGACUGAGACACGGCCCAGACUCCUACGGGAGGCAGCAGUGGGGAAUUUUGGACAAUGGGCGCAAGCCUGAUCCAGCAAUGCCGCGUGCAGGAUGAAGGCCUUCGGGUUGUAAACUGCUUUUGUACGGAACGAAACGGUGAGCUCUAAUACAGUUUGCUAAUGACGGUACCGUAAGAAUAAGCACCGGCUAACUACGUGCCAGCCGCCGCCGUAA